UGCUGGUCUGGGUUCAGGACUGACACAGCCUCGGUUAAUGACCGCUGCUCUGAAGGUUCGAGUCCCUGGUUCUGUCAGAAGAGCUGACUGGAGGAGGUGCAGUCAUGUGACAACAGCAGGAUUUCACUGAUGAGGAGUUUUUGGCUCUUCUGCUAUGUAAUUAGCUCCAACAGAAGUUCCAGCGCCGUGAGCCUCUGAGGAAGAAAUCUGAAAACUAACCAAAGCCCCUGAAGGUGUGACCGCCCCAGAAAUCCCUCCAUGCCAUUCAGGUGGGGGCAGAUGGAUCGCUAGGUGGGAUGACAGGAGCCCGUGGUCCAAUCAGGAGCUGCUCCAAGCGUCAGGCCUGUUCCAGAGAUCCACGAGGACGACAGGGACCCGACAGAACAAGUCAGGACAUUUUCCAGAUGAAAUUUGUGGUUCAGACACUCGUCAGUCAGCUUUCUAAGGUGAGUUAGUUGGUGUCUAGUUUGGAGGAUUUCUGUUGUUUUCUCCACCUCCUGCAAAAUUCAUGAGAAAAUAACAGCAGUUCUCUGUGUUCACAACCUCUGUGUCCAAGCAGUGAAUGCUGGGACAUGCGGUCAUGUGACCGCUUUUGAGUGAGCUGAUAGGCUGCAGCCAAUGUCCACAAACAUACAGGAGCAGAUGUAGCUUAAAGAAAUACGUUUAGAAUGGGGUAUUUUUAAUAAAAUAACUGUUCAUAAUCAUGAUUUUCAUAGUAUUUUCAUCCUUUCUAUUUUUUCUCACUUUCAUCAUGUGUUUUACCUUUUUAUGAACAUUUGAUCUGCCACCUGGAUAUUCAUAGUUUAUAUUUUCUCUGCUUUCAGUUUUGGACUGAAGAAGAAUGUUUAGGUCAGGGGGGGUGAACACGCGGCUCCUGGCCAAUGAGCAUGCGGGUCUUUGUGUCUCAUUAUAUUUUCUAUGUACUGAUCCUCGUUUCAUAGUUUUUCCCUCUUAAACUACAUUCAAAUCCGUUCAAUGCUACAUUCAAUGCCAGAAUAAAUAACUGAACAUUUAUGUUCGUGCAGAACGUUACCCUCAUGGUCAAAGUGGCUUCAUUCAGAGAAUAAAGACAAACACAGGAUGUUUCUGGGAGAAUAGGAAGAUUCUUACUUUUUCACUGAACGGAAUAGCAAUUCACUUCCUGAUCAACACAAAUCAUCUGCUUUAUGAACAAGUUGAAGCUCUUCAAACAUUCAAACGGCCAUCAUCCCACUUUCCUUCUUUGUGGAGCUCACAGCAGAAGCUGCAGUCCACAUGAAUAAAGCAGAACGUGACGCUGCUGCUGGACGGAAACUUGACUUUGUGGUUUGAGGACCUGCAGCAGAAACCACAGCAGAUCACUUUUCUCAUGGAUCC
rnacentral:lncRNA from 1 species